rnacentral:lncRNA from 1 species
ACUUCCUGUUUACCGAACACUUGUAUGAUUUUACACAUGAUAGCCAAGUUGAAAAUUUUCGUCACAUUUUUCUCAGGAAUUACAAUACAAGGAUUUCUGAAAUUUGGUUUCAGGAUUUAUAUAAGUCAGCUAUACCGUGUGAUGCGUUUUCAGAUUCAUCACUCGACAACUUCCUGUUAACCGAACACUUGCAUUUUUUUACACUAUUAAUAUUAUCCACUUGCGGCGGGGGUAUCAUCAGUGAGCAGUAGCUCGCAGU